rnacentral:rRNA from 1 species
GACGAACUGUCCUAACGUUGUUCGGAAUCACUGGGCUUAAAGGGCGCGUAGGCGGUCCGCCAAGUCAGGGGGUGAAAUCCUCGCAGCUUAACUGUAGAAGUGCCUCUGAUACUGGCGGUCUUGAGGGAAAUAGGGGUGUGCGGAACUUCCAGUGGAGCGGUGAAAUGCGUUGAUAUUGGAAGGAACGCCGGAGGCGAAAGCGGCGCACUGGGAUUUCUUCUGACGCUGAGGCGCGAAAGCUAGGGGAGCAAACGGGG